GGUGACUGUAUCCACUGCAGUAUAAACACACACACACACACACACACACACGAGGUGAUUGUAUCCACUGCAGUAUAAACACACACAUACACACAUGAGGUGAUUGUAUCCACUGCAGUAUAAACACACACACACACACAUGAGGUGAUUGUAUCCACUGCAGUAUAAACACACACACACACAUAAGGUGAUUGUAUAGACCUCACAACAACCAUAUUGAAUAAUAAUACAUCCCUGAGGGUCUCCAGUGCAUACAAAACAAAACAAAACACCAAUAUGAUCCUCUAGGCUGUAACCAUGGGCCUUCUAUGCCUACCCCAUGGAGGCUUAUCUUUAUUUACAGUGGUUUGGCCUUAGUUUAUUCUUGCUUUCCAACUAACUCUUAACUUAUAUUAUUGCAGUUAUGCUAUUCUGUGUCUGCCACAUGGCUGGUUACCUCUUCUCAGCUUCAUAUGUCAGACUUCCUCCAAGUCUGGGUAGGGAAUCUGCCAUGCCUCCUCUCCCAGAGUCCUCUCUGUCUGGAAGUCCCACCUUACUCUUCUGCCUUCAUUUUAACCAAUCAGAAUGUGCCUUAGGCAGGCAAGGGAGGACAGAGCCACAUCUUCACACAGUGCACAAAACCAUCACCUCACCACUAGGCCACUGUGCUACAGUGGUGCUCUUAUGGCCUCUGGAGUAUUAAUUCAGUGUAAGCUAAGCAUGUCAAAAUCAAAGCCAUGCCCCUCCACCUGGAGUGGAAAGCUACCGCUGCCAGCCACCCUGUUUGCCUUGUGCAUCAGUCUAGGCUUUAUCGGGAAAAUAGAAGGCACUCCAUAUAUCCCAAGUAUGAAACCAUUUUAAAAUAGCACUGUGGCCGGGUGUGGUGCUCAGGCCUUUAAUCUCAGCACAGUCUGGGGAGGUGGCAUAUAGGCAGACAUAUCUCUGUGAGAGCCUGGUCGACACAGUAAGUUUCAGGACAGGCAGAGCUGCAUAGCGAGACCCUAUCUUGGGGUGGAAAAUAGGAUUGUGAGUCAGGCUUUGUGGCACGGACCUGUGGUUCCAGUACUCAAUAGGCUGAGGCAGGAGGGUCUCAAGUUCAAGACCAGCCUGGGCUACACAGCAAAGUACUAACUCAAAAAGAUAAAUAAAUAAAUAAAUAAAUAAAUAAGGAAAAAUAAUUGAGACCUGAGGUCAAAGGGGGUGCCACCAGCACUGGGGCACUUAGUCUUCAAACCAGCCAUACAGUUAAGGAAUCUCCAGAAUUUCUCUUUAACCCACGAGCAGAUAACGAAGAGCCUGCCAGGAAACAUCUACACACCUCACAUGGGACUAAAAUUCCGAGUCUGCAACUGUCUGGAGUGCCCAGCUCUCCUGGAAGUGUUGUAGUAUUAGCUGAGGUAGGAGGUGCAAGUUCCCGCUAAUAGGGGCCUCCUCUGCCCUUCCUCUGUCCUUCAGCUGCUCCCUGUGAAGAGGGCCUGUCUGUGAGGCUUCAGGUCAGCUGACAGGACUUUGAUGUUCAACAAAAUCACUUUGGACUGGGGGUGAAUUUUCAGCUGUUGCCCAUGCCUUUGUGGGCAGCACAUCUGUUGGCGCCCUAAGGAGGGGCCAGCACUGAGCACAGAUAGGCCGUUCACACUUGGUUGCUGUGACUUGGCCAGGAGCUGCUUGGUUUGGCUUCCUCCAGACAGCUUGGCCCACGCAGCAUUUUGGCCGUUGUUUAUUUAGCUAUUUUUUCCUCCUCCUGUGGCUUGCUUUGCUCUGCCAGAGCAGCAAGUAGUCAGUCUGUGGACAGAGGUUGAUUUCAACUGGAUAGAGUGAAUAUAUUGAAAAGAAUUAAGCUUCCAUUAAGUGGCUCUGGCCUAGGGAAGCGGACCCUUGGCUUGUGUAGAGCAAAGCUGCCGGAGCCCAUUGAAGCUGCGACACACCUCCUCUCCUGUUUGCUUGUCUCCAGUUUUAGGCAGGCUCUAUUAGUCAAGUCAGGGUCAGUUUGCUUUGGUUUUGUUGGCAGGAUCUCACCAUAUAGUCCUGCCUGGUCUGGAACUCCCUGUGUGGACCAACACGGCUUCAAACUCACAAGAGAUUCACAUACCUCUGCCUUCUGAGUGCUGGGAAUAAGAAAGUGUGCCAGGUUGCCCAGACGAGACAUAAUUUGUGUAAGUUAAGAAUAGAUAGCAGUGGGUCUCAAUAUAGAUUGUUCACCAAGCUCAGGGCCCUCAGUUCAAACCCUCAGCACCAGUGAAGGCCAAGAAACAUACCAGCAAACAAGCCAAAAAUAGGGUACUUUUUAAAUGUUGAAAUUAACAUAAAAUAUAAUUUUUCCCAGUUUUUUGAUUGGUUGGGGUUUGUUUGUUUGUUUGUUUGUUUGUUUGAGACAUAGUCUCUCUACAUAGCUCUAGCUGUCCUGGGCUCACUAUGUAGACCAGGCUGGCCUCUUGGGUGCUGGGAUUAAAGGCCCAGUAUUUGCUUUAUAAAGUUUUAGUAUCAGUUUUGCUUUAUGCUUGGUUGCUUUCACCCUCACUAGCAAAUCCAUUCCUUCAUUGGCAUUAGAGCCCAGGAUUCCAGGUUCUAGUGAAGACCCGUUGUAACAUGUAGCCUUUUAAACGGAGAAACUUAUGGAUUCUUAUUAGACUUUCUGUUCGUAGCCAACCAUUACCGAUUAGCUGGACCCCACAGCCUGUUUAUUUAUUUUUGUGUAUGACUGUUUCGUCUGCAUGUACGUACAUAAACCAUGUGUACACUUAUUCUUGGCAGAGGUAAGAAGCGGGUGUCAGGUCCCCUGGAACUACAGUUACACACGGUUCUGAGACACCAUAUGGAUACUGGGAAUCAAGCCUGGGUGGUCUGCAAGAACAAGCAUUCUUAACUACCCAGAUACAGAAGUGUUGCAACUGGUUCUCUACACCCAUACUUCACCUGCCCUCUUUCUUCCACGUCUAGGAAGACUCUGCUAAGAUGGAUGGGGAGAUGUUUUUGAGAAACUCUGGGACUGGACCAAGCUUAUUCCGAUAUUCUGCAGGUCCUCCCGUUUCACUCCACUCCCUCUUCUCAGUUCCUUUUUAUUGUGUAAUCUAAAACUGUGUCUGCUUAAAUCUACCUUAAAACCUUGCUCGUCCAUCCAGUCUGGGCUGGGUGCCCUGAGCAGACCUUGAGCACGAACUCCACAGCCAGUCCCACAACACCCAGAGGAAGCUCCACUUCCAGGAGCUCUAACACGCCCAGGAUCAGAGGAUCCCAGGAUCCCAGAAUUGUAGGAUCCCAGAGACAGCUGAACUCUGAGGAGUUCUGACACAAGCAGGAUCACAGGAAGGACAGGCUCCAGUUACUUGGCAUCAUCAGAACCCAAUUCUGUCACCAUAGCAAGUCCUGAAUACACUAUCACACCAGAAAAGCAAGAUUUGAAUCUAAAAUCACUUCUCAUGAUGAUGAUAGAGGACUUUAAGAAGAACAUAAAUAACUCCCUUAAAGAAAUACAGGAGAACACAGGUAAACAGCUAGAAGCCGUUAAAGAAGAAACACAAAUGCCCCUUACAGAAUUACAAGAAAGUACAAUCAAACAGGCAAAGGAAAUGAACAAAAUCAUUCAAAAUCUAAACAUGGAAAUAGAAAAAUAAAGAAAUCACAAAGGGAGACAACCCUGGAGUUAGAAAACAUAGAUGCAAGCAUCACCAACAGAAUACAAGAGAUAGAAGAAAGAAUCUCAGGUGCAGAAGAUACCAUAGAAAACAUUGACACAACAGUCAAAGAAAAUGCCAAAUGCAAAAGGCUCCUAACUGAAAAUAUCCAGGAAAUCUAGGACACAAUGAGAAGAACAAACCUAAGGAUAAUAGGUAUAAAAGAGAGAGAGAAGAUUCACAACUUAAAGGGCCAGUAAAUAUCUUCAACAGAAUUAUAGAAGAAAACUUGCCUAACCUAAAGAAAGAGAUGCCCAUGAACAUACAAGAAGCCUACUAAUAAAACUCCAAAUAGACUGGACCAGAAUAAUAAUCUCAUCACAUAAUAAUCAAAACACUGAAUGUACUAAACAAAGAAUAUUAAAAGCAGUAAGGGAAAAAGGUCAAGUAACAUAUAAAGGCAGGCCUAUCAGAAUUACACCAGACUUCUCACCAGAGACUAUGAAAGCCAGAAGAGCCUGGACAGAUGUUAUACAGACACUAAGAGAACACAAAUGCCAGCCCAGGCUACUAUACCCGGCCAAACUCUCAAUUACCAUAGACGGAGAAACCAAAGUAUUCCAUGACAAAACCAAAUUUACACAAAUCCAGCCCUACAAAGGAUAACAGGUGGAAAACAACACAAGGAGGGACAUUAUACCCUAGAAAAAGCAAGAAAGUAAUCUUUCAACAAACCCAAAAGAAAAUAGCCACACAAACAUAAUUCCACCUCUAACAAUAAAAGUAACAGGAAGCAACAAUCUCUUUUCCAAAAUAUCUCUUAACAUCAAUGGGCUCAAUUCCCCAAUAAAAAGACAUAGGCUAACAGACUGGACAUGUAAACAGGACCCAGUAUUCUGCUGCAUACAGGAAACACCUCAGUAACAAAGAUGGGACACUGCCUUAGAGUAAAAGGCUGGAAAACAAUUUUGUAAGCAAAUGGUCCCAAGAAACAAGCUGGAGUAGCCGUUCUAGUAUCAAAGAAAAUCAACUUUCAACCAAAAAUUAUCAAAAAGAUAAGGAAGGACACUUCAUACUGGUCAAAGGAAAAAUCUACCAAGAUGAACUCUCAAUUCUGAACACCUAUGCUCCAAAAACCCCACAUUCAUAAAAGAAACUUUAGUAAAGCUCAAAUCAUACACUCCACACAUUAAUAGUGGGAGACUUCAACACCCCACUCUCAGCAAUGGACAGAUCCUGGAAACAGAAACUAAUCAGAGACCCAGUGAAACUAAGAGAGGUUAUGAAGCAAAUGAAUCUAAGAUAUUUAUAGACCAUUUCACCCUAAAGCAGAAGGAUAUACCUUCUUCUCAGCAUCUCUUGGAACCUUCUCCAAAAUUGACCAUUGACAAAACAGGCCUCAACAGAUACAAGAAGAUUGAAAUAAUCCUGUGCACCCUAUAAGACCACCAUGGACUAAAUAUCAACAAAAACAACGAACAGAAAGCCCACAUACACAUGGAAGCUGAGCAAUGCUCUACUCAAUGAUAACUUGGCCAAGGAAGACAUAAAGAAAAAAUUUAAAGACUUUUUAGAAUUUAAUGAAAAUGAAGACAACAUACCAAAACUUAUGGGAUACAAUAAAAGCAGUGGUAAGAGGAAAACUCAUAGCUCUGAGUGCCUCCAAAAAGAAACUAGAGAGAGCACACACUAGCAGCUUGACAGCACACCUAGAAGCUCUAGAACAAAAAGAGGCAAAUUCACCCAAGAGGACUAGAAAGCAGGAAAUAAUCAAACUCAGGACUGAAAUCAACCAAUUGGAAACAAAAAGAACUAUUCGAAGAAUCAACCAAACCAGGAGGUGGUUCUUUGAGAAAAUCAACAAGAUAGAUAAACCCUUAGCUAAACUAACUAGAGGGCACAGGGACAGCAUCCUAAUUAACAAAAUCAAAAAUGAAAAGGGAGAUAUAACAAUGAAAUACAUGUUAAAAUAAUUUUUCUGUUUGAUGAACAUUAACAGUUGAAAAUAUAAUCAUGUUCUAUAAAUAUGGAAACAUUAUUGAUACUUUUUCUCACUGCUUGAAAUUAUUAUUUUCUUAAUGUUUUUAACUUCAAAGAAUUUUUGCUAUUUUGAAAUUUUUAAAAUUUAUUACUGAUAAAAUCUCUCCUAGAAAUGCUGGUAAUCUUUUUUAAGUAAACUGAUUGUUAGACAAUAUACACAGAAAUAUAAUGUAUUUUAAAUACUCUCUCACUAUGUCAGGGGUAUCAUAUAAGGGCUUUUGAAUGUAUUUCUUUCUUAUUUUUUUUAAAAAAAGAUUUAUUUAUUUAUUAUAUGUAAGUACACUGUAGCUGUCUUCAGACACUCCAGAAGAGGGCGUCAGAUUUCGUUACAGAUGGUUGUGAGCCACCAUGUGGUUGCUGGGAUUUGAACUCGGGACCUUCAGAAGAGCAGUUGGCGCUCUUAACCACUGAGCCAUCUCGCCAGCCCCAUUGAAUGUAUUUCUUAAUGAUUCAUUUUUAAUAUUUUAUGCUCCUUUACUAUGCUUAAUUUCCAAAGGAUAUCUUGUAUGUUUUGAAACAAUUUAGUAUUCCACAUUAGAUAUAGGAUCCUCAGUUAUGGAUAGUAUUACAUAUUCAUUAAUGAUAUUUUUAGGGUAUGAAAGGAUAUGAAUUUUUGUAAAAGUUGAACAAAGUUUAUGUGUAUUAUUUGAUUCUCAAAAUACUCAAUAUUAUUAAUAUGUUUGAUGUAUAAAAUUCAUUUAAUUAAUAAAAAAUUUAAAAAAUAAAUUUUAGUAUUUAAAAAAACUUACAAAUAACUAUAAACAUCACAUUUUCACUUCCUCUCUCCCACAGAAAUAUUAUUUAUGUUCUUUGAUAAUAUGUGUUCUUAAUUGUUCAAGUUCUGGCAGAGGGCCAUGGUACACUCAGGUAGCCUUAAAGUUUAGUCUUACAAAGGGAGUGAGCAGGCAUGGUGGGAGAACCCAGAAUCUAAGCCCAUCCCCCCCACCACAGCCUGAGGAAGCGCCGGACCAGAGGGACUCCCAGAACCUUGGAAUAACCAGAGCUCUAGAAGAAAUGCAGCUCUAGAAGAAAACAAUAACCACACACAGGUGUGGCCAGGAGAAGGGAAUCGGGAUUUUCUCCACCCUUCUGCAUUCUGACAUCACCUCCCAUUGGCCACACCCACCACAAGCCGGUGGGCCUGAGCCCUUGAUUGUACCCUGGGCCUCACGUGGGCACCGAGUGGGAUAAGAGGUCAGAGCAGGAUGGCCUGCAGAGCCAAGCAGGGCAAAUUCUCUUCAGCCGUGUAAGCUUAUGAACUGAUGAGGUCGCCUGCUCAGUCCCACAAAGUAAAGUUAAUUGGAAAAAAAAA